GGAUUAGAUACCCUGGUAGUCCAUGCCGUAAACGAUGUGUGCUAGACGUUGGAAAUAUAUUUUUCAGUGUCGCAGCGAAAGCAUUAAGCACACCGCCUGGGGAGUACGACCGCAAGGUUAAAACUCAAAUGAAUUGACGGGGACCCGCACAAGCAGUGGAGCAUGUGGUUUAAUUCGAAGAUACGCGCAGAACCUUACCAACACUUGACAUGUUCGUCGCAAGACUAAGAGAUUAGUCUUUUCAGUUAGGCUGGACGAAACACAGGUGCUGCAUGGCUGUCGUCAGCUCGUGUCG
rnacentral:rRNA from 1 species